GAACGAAAGCAUGGGUAGCGAAGAGGAUUAGAUACCCUCGUAGUCCAUGCCGUAAACGAUGUGUGUUAGACGUUGGAAAUUUAUUUUCAGUGUCGCAGCGAAAGCGAUAAACACACCGCCUGGGGAGUACGACCGCAAGGUUAAAACUCAAAUGAAUUGACGGGGACCCGCACAAGUAGUGGAGCAUGUGGUUUAAUUCGAAGAUACGCGCAGAACCUUACCAACACUUGACAUGUUCGUCGCGACUCUAAGAGAUUAGAGUUUUCGGUUCGGCCGGACGAAACACAGGUGCUGCAUGGCUGUCGUCAGCUCGUGUCGUGAGAUGUUGGGUUAAGUCCCGCAACGAGCGCAACCCUCACUUUUAGUUGCCAUCAUUAAGUUGGGCACUCUGAAAGAACUGCCAGUGAUAAGCUGGAGGAAGGUGGGGAUGACGUCAAGUCCUCAUGGCCCUUACGUGUUGGGCUACACACGUGCUACAAUGGUAUCUACAACAGGAAGCAAGACUGCGAGGUCAAGCAAAUCCUUAAAAGAUACCUCAGUUCGGAUUGCACUCUGCAACUCGAGUGCAUGAAGCUGGAAUUACUAGUAAUCGUGGAUCAGCGUGCCACGGUGAAUGCGUUCCCGGGUCUUGUACACACCGCCCGUCACACCAUGGGAGUUGGUUCUACCUUAAGGCAAGGUUUCAAACCCUUGACCACGGUAUAGUCAGCGACUGGGGUGAAGUCGUAACAAGGUAGCCGUAGGGGAACCUGCGGCUG
rnacentral:rRNA from 1 species